ACUACGGGAGGCAGCAGUGGGGAAUAUUGGGCAAUGGGCGCAAGCCUGACCCAGCAACGCCGCGUGAAGGAAGAAGGCUUUCGGGUUGUAAACUUCUUUUGUCAGGGACGAAGCAAGUGACGGUACCUGACGAAUAAGCCACGGCUAACUACGUGCCAGCAGCCGCGGUAAUACGUAGGUGGCAAGCGUUAUCCGGAUUUACUGGGUGUAAAGGGCGUGUAGGCGGGGAAGCAAGUAAGAUGUGAAAACCACGGGCUCAACCUGUGGCCUGCAUUUGAAACUGUUUUUCUUGAGUGCUGGAGAGGCAAUCGGAAUUCCGUGUGGAGCGGUGAAAUGCGUAGAUAUACGGAGGAACACCAGUGGCGAAGGCGGAUUGCUGGACAGUAACUGACGCUGAGGCGCGAAAGCGUGGGGAGCAAACAGGAUUAGAUACCCUUGUAGUC
rnacentral:rRNA from 1 species